UAAUACGGAAGGUCCGGGCGUUAUCCGGAUUUAUUGGGUUUAAAGGGAGCGUAGGCCGGAGAUUAAGCGUGUUGUGAAAUGUAGACGCUCAACGUCUGCACUGCAGCGCGAACUGGUUUCCUUGAGUACGCACAAAGUGGGCGGAAUUCGUGGUGUAGCGGUGAAAUGCUUAGAUAUCACGAAGAACUCCGAUUGCGAAGGCAGCUCACUGGAGCGCAACUGACGCUGAAGCUCGAAAGUGCGGGUAUCGAACAGGAUUAGAUACCCUGGUAGUCCGCACGGUAAACGAUGGAUGCCCGCUGUUGGUCUGAAUAGGUCAGCGGCCAAGCGAAAGCAUUAAGCAUCCCACCUGGGGAGUACGCCGGCAACGGUGAA
rnacentral:rRNA from 1 species